AGUGAACGCUGGCGGUAGGCCUAACACAUGCAAGUCGAACGGCAGCACAGUAAGAGCUUGCUCUUACGGGUGGCGAGUGGCGGACGGGUGAGGAAUACAUCGGAAUCUACUUUUUCGUGGGGGAUAACGUAGGGAAACUUACGCUAAUACCGCAUACGACCUACGGGUGAAAGCAGGGGAUCUUCGGACCUUGCGCGAUUGAAUGAGCCGAUGUCGGAUUAGCUAGUUGGCGGGGUAAAGGCCCACCAAGGCGACGAUCCGUAGCUGGUCUGAGAGGAUGAUCAGCCACACUGGAACUGGAACAGGGUCCAGACUCCUAAGGGAGGGAGCAGUGGGGAAUAUUGGACAAAGGGGGCAAGCCUGAUCCAGCCAUACCGCGUGGGUGGAGAAGGCCUUCGGGUUGGAAAGCCCUUUUGUUGGGAAAGAAAAGCAGCAGGUUAAUACCCCGCUGUUCUGACGGUACCCAAAGAAUAAGCACCGGCUAACUUCGUG
rnacentral:rRNA from 1 species